GGCGGGGUAGCUCAGCCGGUUAGAGCACGUGAUUCAUAACCACGAGGUCGGGAGUUCGAGUCUCCCCCCCGCUACCA
rnacentral:tRNA from 2 species